UACGGAGGAUCCAAGCGUUAUCCGGAAUCAUUGGGUUUAAAGGGUCCGUAGGCGGUUUGGUAAGUCAGUGGUGAAAGCCCAUCGCUCAACGGUGGAACGGCCAUUGAUACUGCCAGACUUGAAUUAUUAGGAAGUAACUAGAAAUAUGUAGUGUAGCGGUGAAAUGCUUAGAGAUUACAUGGAAUACCAAUUGCGAAGGCAGGUUACUACUAAUGGAUUGACGCUGAUGGACGAAAGCGUGGGUAGCGAAACAGG
rnacentral:rRNA from 1 species